GCCUUUAUAGCUCAGUGGUAGAGCGUCGGUCUCGUACCCAGUAGAAAGAAAACCGGAUGUCGAGAGUUCAAUCCUCUCUGAAGGCA
rnacentral:tRNA from 1 species